CAAGUCGAACGGACUCCAUGCAGUAGCAAUACUGCGGAAGAGUUAGUGGCGAACGGGUGAGUAUCACGUGAGAAACCAACCCCGGUCUCUGGGAUAACAGGUGGAAACACCUGCUAAUACCGGAUGCCGUCGUUUCCUCGCAUGGGGAGAUGACGAAAGGGCUACCGGAUCGGGACGGUCUCGCGGCCUAUCAGCUUGUUGGGGAGGUAACGGCUCACCAAGGCUUCGACGGGUAGCUGGUCUGAGAGGAUGAUCAGCCACACUGGGACUGAGACACGGCCCAGACUCCUACGGGAGGCAGCAGUGGGGAAUCUUGCGCAAUGGGCGAAAGCCUGACGCAGCAACGCCGCGUGCGGGAUGAAGGCCUUCGGGUUGUAAACCGCUUUUACCAGGAAGGAAAAUGACAGUACCUGGAGAAUAAGGUGCGGCCAACUACGUGCCAGCAGCCGCGGUGACACGUAGGCACCAAGCGUUGUCCGGAUUUAUUGGGCGUAAAGAGCUCGUAGGCGGUUCAGUAAGUCGGGUGUGAAAACUCUGGGCUCAACUCAGAGACGCCACCCGAUACUGCUGUGACUUGAGUCCGGUAGGGGAGUGGGGAAUUCCUGGUGUAACGGUGAAAUGCGCAGAUAUCAGGAGGAACACCAAUGGCGAAGGCACCACUCUGGGCCGAGACUGACGCUGAGGAGCGAAAGCGUGGGUAGCAAACAGGAUUAGAUACCCUGGUAGUCCACGCCGUAAACGGUGGGCACUAGGUGUGGGUUCCAACCAACGGAAUCCGCGCCGGCGCUAACGCAUUAAGUGCCCCGCCUGGGGAGUACGACCGCAAGGUUAAAACUCAAAGGAAUUGACGG
rnacentral:rRNA from 1 species